ACACUUUUAUCUUUAGACAGUAGGAGGACCGUACAUACAUGAUGUAAUGUGCCUUUGUUUGUAUUUCAGUGUUUUCCGCCUCUUGCAGCAUUGUCCACAAUGAUAGCUCUCCUACAAUAGUUGUUGCAAAUGAAAAUGGAGGAUAUGUCUCUGUCAGGCCUGGAAAACACCAAGCUAGAGGCCUUGGCUCAUGACGUUUACUCUGACCUAGUGGAAGAUGCCUGUUUAGGGCUGUGCUUUGAGGUGCACAGGGCGGUCAAACAGGGCUACUUCUUCCUGGAUGAAACGGACCAAGAAAGUAUGAAGGAUUUUGAAAUAGUGGACCAGCCUGGUGUGGACAUCUUUGGGCAGGUGUACAACCAGUGGAAGAAUAAGGAGUGUGUGUGUCCCAACUGCAGCCGGAGUAUUGCAGCCUCUCGCUUUGCUCCUCAUCUGGAGAAGUGUCUCGGCAUGGGCCGCAACAGCAGCCGAAUAGCCAACCGCAGAAUAGCCAGCAGCAACAACACAAGCAAGUCAGAAAGCGACCAGGAAGACAAUGAUGAUAUCAAUGACAAUGACUGGUCCUAUGGUUCAGAAAAGAAAGCCAAGAAAAGAAAGUCAGAAAAGAAUCCAAACUCUCCCAGGAGAUCCAAAUCCCUGAAGCACAAGAAUGGAGAGCUCAGCAGUAAUGUCAAUCCAGACCUGUAUAAGUAUAACUACAGCUCUGGCAUCAGUUAUGAGACUUUGGGACCUGAGGAGCUGCGCUCUAUACUGACUACACAAUGUGGGGUCGUAUCAGAGCACACAAAGAAGAUGUGUACUCGGUCCCAGCGAUGUCCCCAGCACACGGACGAACAGAGGAGGGCAGUCAGGGUCUUCCUCCUUGGGCCGUCCGCGUCAGUGCUACCUGACUCUGAUACAAUGCUGGAAAAUGAUGGCUAUGAUGCCCCUGAUGGCCAGCUCAUCAUGUCUCGCCUCCAGUGGGAUGGCUCCUCUGAUAUCUCACCAUCAGACUCAGCAUCUUCAAAAGCCAGCACCAAUAACUCCGAAUCUAAGAGACCUAAGAAAAAGAAGAAGCCCAGCACACUGACUCUGACUACCACUGGAAGUGGAGGAGAGCGGGACAAAGGGCAGGAACGAGAGCGAGGAGACCGAGAAAGAGUAGUAGGCGGCGGGAGCAGUAGCAGCAGCUCCCAGAAUGCACUGGGCCUGUCCAGUCGGAAAAAGCGACCAAAACUGCCAGUUCCCCUAGCCCCUAGCCACUACGAUGACCUGAACUAGGGAACAUGAUACUCACACACACUUACACACAGUUUUUGAUAAUGAUUGAUUUGAUGAGUCCUUAUGUGAUCUCUAGUUUCCACUAUUUCAAGGUAUAUGAACAUGAUGAGACACUCUCCGUUGAAUGUACAUGCAUAUCAGGGGCACAAUAGAUUACAUUUGUCAUGGCACAUUGUUGCACAGUGAAAAGUGAGUGUUCUUGUGAUUAAAUGUAGUGUUUGUAUGUGGAUGUGAGUUGGAGCAAGAAUGUUUUUAUUUUACUAUGCAGUUCACUGUCAUUGUGUUAUUGAAUACUCUCGUGUGUGUAUACAUGAGAUUUGGGUUUAAAGUGACGCAUGCGUGGGUGAAUGCUGAACAGAUUGCAUGUAUGUGAAUGGGAUGUUGCAAAUAUUUUGUUUCCUAGUGGCACAUGUAUACAUUAGGUUAAUCUGUGCAAUGUCCUCUACUGGUUUUAAAGGGUGUCUUUGCUUCAUAUCAUCUUGCUAAUGUUACUGCAACCUGUUGUCUUCUGCAAGUGAAGCUACUACUCAUACUCUCUCUUGACAAUGUCAUGCUAAAUAAUGGACUCACAUUGUGCUACCGACAGCUUUCUGCCAAAUCUGUGAAUACACAAUCUUUUGCUUUUUAGGUCUCUUUUGAAGUUAAUAUUCUUGUUUGUUGUCAUUGAUAAUAUUUCUUGUUUGAUACUUUAUUUAUUUAGUUUAGUGUCAAUGUAAUUUUUUAUUUAUUUUUUUAUUUAAUCAUGGCUUUUUGACCUCUUGGUCUUUAAUGUAUGCAUUUCUUGGAUUACAAAGUUUAAAUUGCUGAGA